rnacentral:rRNA from 1 species
GUCGCCCGGGCCCUCAACCGCCGGAUCUCCGACCUCGUCGCCCUCCUCUUCCGCCACAAGAGCGCGGGGUCCUUCGGCGCCGUCGCGGGCUUCGCCAUCGCCGUCGUCUUCGCGUGGAAGUUCCUGCGCUCCUCCUCGACGCCCCGGCCCCGCCGCCCCGCCGCCCCCAAGCGGCCCUCGCCCGCCGGCUCCGCCGCGCCUGCCCCCGACGGCCCGGCCGAGCCCGCCGGCGACUCCGGGACGCUGACGACGCGGCAGAUCGUGGCGAGGCGGCUCGGCGGGUGCCGAAGGGUCACUUGCCAACUAAUCGGUAUCGUAUUUGAGGAGAAAACUCCCGAGGAGCUUCAGAAUCAUGCCACCGUUAAGCCCUCAGUGGUGGAACUACUACUGGAAAUAUCCAAAUACUGUGAUUUUUAUUUGAUGGAAACUGUACUUGAUGAUAAGAGUGAGGAGAAUGCUCUUAUGGCCCUGGAGAAAGCCGGGCUUUUCAAUACUGGUGGCUUGAUGAAAGAAAAGGUACUCUUUUGCAGCAGUGAAGUAGGCCGAACUUCGUUUGUUCGACAGUUGGAGUCAGAUUUCCACAUCGACGCAAGCCUCGAGAUAAUUUCCCAACUAUCUCGGUUCAUCCGGUGCCAGCUAUUCGUUUCCUCCAUGGAAGGAGGGCAGCUCGCAGCCAAUGUAUUUAACUCUCCGAGCCUGGAGCAGUUCUUCUCUUGA